rnacentral:lncRNA from 1 species
UCUUAAUAUGUAGUGUUGACAGCUGAUCGAACGUUAUUGUUGUGAUUCUCGCUUUAAUUUCUUUUAGAUUGGCCCAUAUCAAUUUGUGGAAACUGAUCUGUAUCCAAUAAAGGUUGGCAGCCAUAUGCAAUAUCAAGACGACGAAUUAUAGGACCAAUCUUUUUCUAUAAUUCUAUUAACGGGGCAUGAUACCGAGAAAUUUUGAACAAUUUUAUGGAACAAUUCCACAAUGACGAGCUACAGCACGGAUAUUUCCAACAAAACAAUGCUCCACCCCACACUUCCUGGUGUGGGGUGGAGGUGUUACGAUAUGAUGACUAGUUUCAGCUCAAAAAAAAAGUGGUCGGAAAAUCGGACAAUAAAUAUAAAUUUUAUGAGUGUAUUCCGGUUUUAAAUGACACAGUAUAAGAUUUGAUGUCAUAAAAAUGUUUUGUAUAUAUGUACAAAGUAAUACAUAAUUUAAUUUAGUGUUUUAUGUGAGCGCUGGACGUUGGCAGUAAAAAUGUAAAAUUUAGAUCGAUAAAUUUGGAAGAGAGUAGGUUGGACCAUCAGGUGUUGACGUUGCAAAUAUAGCCAGUAGUUUUACUGCCGUCGCUGGGUUGACUGGGCGAGAAUAUUGGCUUGUAAGGAGCAACGGGAGCCUGGAGAUUUGCAGACUCGAUAGAAAUACUCUAUUAUCCACAAGGAGAAGGGAUACUGAUCUCCGAUACGCGCACAUUCCGCAAAUAUGUACCCAUGUUUUCAAAUAACAAAUCGACAGAAAGAGCGGUUUGGAGGGAGCGCUGAUAAAUGUCGCAAUUCGUCGUCCCAUUUUUCAAGGAAUAGUACACUGAUUUAUCCGUAAUAGGGGUGAUAAUUAAUACCCCGCAAUUAUUUAUAUUCCUUAAUGAUCGGAAACGUCAGCAUUUCCUUUUCCGUUGCGAUAAUCGGAAAUAAAACAAGAAAAGUUAACAAAAGUAAUGAGAGUGAAAGCUUUUUGUAAUGUUAUUAGAAGAUAUAAUUUUAGUCUCCAGCUGUACGGAGAACGUCUUCGCACCUGAGCUUUAUUUUUAACCCGUGGCAAUUCAAAAACGUACCCUUUCCCAUCUGUUCGUCGCAGUUCUCUAGGCCAUUAAAUCUCACAUCGACCCCACCUGGGUAAAAUUGAAACUAUAAGUUUAUCGGUCCGAUAAGCGCUACUGAAAAUUUCAAACUUCUAUCGUACGACAUUAUCAUAGUGUUCAUUCAACAAAUCAUGCGUGUGUUAAUUGCAUUUUACGCAUUUCUACCUCGCCUAGUCAACUGAGAAAACGUGAUCCCGGACACACGAUCGAACAUGUCUGUUUGCGCUUACACGUAUAGCGAUUUUAAGUAUUAAAGUGAAUCCCAUUUCAAAGAUAAUCGUUAUUACCCUUUACGUUUCGGCUUUUCAACACCUGAAAUCAUUUUAUUUCUCCUCCGAAGUCGUUUAGCAUUAAGUGUAUUAAGCGCAACCUUUUGGUAAAUUGGUAUUUUAUUGUGGAGCGUCCCGGGAAGCCAUCUAAGUUCAACUUAGAGGAUUUUAGGUCCCUCGGGAAGUUGCCGGAUUAAGUAAUAGCUCGAAGCAUUCGGAUGGUCAGAUACCUCAAGUUCGUACUGGUUCUAUCAAAUCUUUCCAACUUUAAAAAUAUUGAAAAUGUAAACAAAAUCACAUAAA